rfam:Colwellia psychrerythraea 34H, complete genome.
UGGCAGUAACUAGCGUCACUUCGUAUAACCCCAGUGAUAUGGAUUGGGGGUCUCUACCAGGAACCAAUAAAUCCUGAUUACGAAGAGUUUAGUGCUUUAG